CACGCAGAGAGAGAGAGAGAGAGAGAGAAAAAGUCGUGCGAGAAUGUAAACAUUAAGCGAAAUCACCGCCGACAGCAGAAACAAUAGCCGACACCAUAGACACUUCAAAUGGUUCUGCUUUCCUCAUUUGGACUGAAAGGUGAGAGUGGAACUCGUCUGCCCAAACCGUGGCACCGAUAUCAGCUGCAGGCCAGAGCAAGCCUUUCCGAGGAGAUUUUAAGCAACCGGUGGGAGCAAGAUCCUGAAGCAUUUCUUCCAAGAUUGGUCACAGGAGAUGAAACCUGGCUCUACCGGCAGGAUCCUGAAGACCAAGCACGAGGCCAUGGCUACCAAGAGGUGGCAGUGCUCCAGUCGAAGCCGUGGAGGAUCCCAGGACCCUGGGGGCUUUAGGGAUGGGCUAGACGGUGGGGAAAAGACACUGCUUCCAGAAGGGUCUUGAAGUUGAUGGAGCCGAGGCUGAGAAGUAAAAUACGCCUAUUUCCUCUUUCUCCCUUAAUCCCACUUUUCUACGAAUGUUUCCAAGUCCCCUCACACNNNNNNNNNNAGGAGAAUCGCUUGAACCCGGGAGGCCGAGUUUGCAGUGAGCCCAGAUCCCAGCAUUGCACUCCAGCCUGGACAACAAAAGCCAAACUCCGUCUCAAGUUAAAAAAAACAAAACCUCAGAAAAGCUUCCCCAGCAAGGGCCAGAGACAACGCCGGUCUCUAUUUCUUGACAGCAAUUCAAGAGAGAAUCUCGGGUGGCUUGCAAAACUCACAAGAGAGCAGAAUAUCCUCCCCAAGGCAGAGAAGCCACACGCUCUUUCUGGAGGUGGAGUAGCCACCGAUCACCGUGCAGCCCCUCCCCACUCCCAGCCAGAAACCCCAGCCCCUGGGAACCAAAUCCACUGGCAACAACCUUUCUUCCUGGAAAACGUUUCCCCUGCCAAAAUGGAAAACAAACAUGAUACAAGCAAACGCAUCUCAAAACACAAACACAAGGAAACAAUCCGAGCAAGCUCUAGCCCCUCAUAGCUCAUACAUGCCCCCACUGGCAUGCUACUGAAAACAGCGGCUGCACCCAUUAAACUCAUUCAUUACUGGAGAACGAGACAAACCUUAGCGGAUCCCUGCCCCCACAGCGACAAUCCCGCUCGAAAACACAGAAAGGAAACAACCCCCGCACAAAAUAUAAAUCUACCCC
rnacentral:lncRNA from 1 species